ensembl:lncRNA
CUAGUGUUCCAGAUAGGUUUCUUUGUGCUUUCUUAUACUUUUAGUCUGAAAACAAUGGUGCAGAAUUAUUUCACAAAAACCAAGAACUACACUGGUCAGAAUUAUUAGUGUCCCUGCUAAUAGUCAGUUGUGUAUCCUUGUUGCUGGUAUCAACCCGUAGUCAUUUAUUGUAGUUUAUAACAUCCUCACACACAUCUCCUGAGUAAUCCCAGCUCCUUCUGUUUUGGCAAAUCUCUCAAGCUCCUCCAUAUUUGAUGGUCUUUUGAUGAUCUUCUGGAAUGGAACUUGGUCUGCAGUUUACUCCACAGAUUUUUAAGUCUAGGCUUUGUUAUUAACAUACUUCAGUCUGCACUGAAGGUGUCUCUUCUGCAGAAGUGGGUUUUUUCUUGGUCUGUAACCUCACAGUCCAUUCCUGUGUGGCUUUCUAAUGAUUCUCAUCUUUGAGACUACAAUUCCCAACUUGGCUAAGUCAUUCACAAGUGUCUUGGCAGUUGUUCUGAGGUCUUUAGGUUGAAUUCUUGCAGGUAUUUAGUUGCAAACAAAAUGCAUUAAAAUGCAUUAAUUUAUACUUCAGUAUGUGAUUUCUUUUUUUUUUUUUUUUACACAGUAGGCAGCACUGUUGCCUUAAAGCAAGGAAGUCCUGGAUUUAAAUCCAUCGGCUGCUUCUGUGUGGAGUUUACAUGUUCUUCUCAUGUCUGUGUGGGUUCUCCCCAGGUACUCCAGCUUCCUCCCACAGUCCAAAAUUAUGCAUGGGGUUAGGUUAAUUGGUGAUUCUAAAUUGGUCAUAGGUGUAAAUGUGAGUGUGAAUGGUUGUCUGUCUCUCAGUGUUAGCCCAGCAAGACAUUGGCGACCUGUCUAGGGUGUGCCUUUUGCCCUGUGAUACGUGGGAUGGACUCCGGCCUCUCACUGACCCUAGUUUGGAUAAACCCUCCCUCAAGAUGUUAGGCAGGCAUGCUCUGUGGAGGUUUUUAAAACCAAGCUGAAGACACAUUUGUUCACCCUAUCUUACAUGUCUUAAUUCUAUGGCUUUUAGUUUUUAAAUUUUUACUGUUUUUAACUUGUAUUGUCUUUUACCUGUAUUGCUAUGUAUCGCUUUUAUUUUUUAAAAUCUUUUUAGUUUCAAAUAGUUGUACAGCACUUUGUUUGAAAGCGCUUUAUAAAUAAAGUUGUUGUUAUUAUUA